rnacentral:misc_RNA from 1 species
GAUGAAGAACGUAGCGAAAUGCAAUACUUGGUGUGAAUUGCAGAAUCCCGUGAACCAUCGAGUUUUUGAACGCUAGUUGCGCCCGAAGCCGUUAGGCCGAGGGCACGCCUGCCUGGGUGUCACACAUCGUUGCCCCAAUGCCAAUCGCCUCACUUUGUAGGUAUUUGCUUGGGGUGAAUGUUGGCCUCCCGUGAGCUUUGUCUCACGGUUGGUUGAAAAUCGAGUGCAUGGUGUCGGGUGUACCAUGAUGGAUGGUGGUUGCGUGAUGAUGCUCGGUGACCCACAUGCGUCCCUUGGAUGCUCCCUAAGGAGACCUCAGGUCAGGCGGGGCUACCCACUGAGUUUAAGCAUAUCAAUAAGCGGAGGA